CCUCCUUCUUCACCACGACAGACCGGUAGAGCGACCGCAUUACUGCGAAGGCUGCACCGAUCUGCCUGUCAAUCUCCUCUAUCUUUCUAAACAUGUUGUAAACACUCAUUGUGUUUAAAUUUUGUUUAAAUAUGUUUUUGUCUUAUUGUCUCUUUGUCUGACAGACCUGAGCUCAGCUCUGGAUCCUCUGACUCCUUGGAUCAGCCUCCCAAAGGAGAGCUUCACCAACCAGCCCUAGAUCCUCUAAAUGCAGGGAUGGACGCAGAUCAAAAGAAAACGUUAUGAAUUUUUAAGGAUCAGAUACUCAGAGGGGGGUGACGUCCCCACUGCUGGUGUUUGGGGGUGAUCAGUGGUGGUAGCAUCAACCAGAAGGAGUCAGGAGUCAGUGCUGAAGCAGACACAUGGGUUUUAAUUAAUAAACAUAAAGCGGUUCUAAAAGAACCA
rnacentral:lncRNA from 1 species